GACGAACGCUGGCGGCGUGCCUAAUACAUGCAAGUAGAACGCUGAAGAGAGGAGCUUGCUCUUCUUGGAUGAGUUGCGAACGGGUGAGUAACGCGUAGGUAACCUGCCUUGUAGCGGGGGAUAACUAUUGGAAACGAUAGCUAAUACCGCAUAACAAUGGAUGACGCAUGUCAUUUAUUUGAAAGGGGCAAUUGCUCCACUACAAGAUGGACCUGCGUUGUAUUAGCUAGUAGGUGAGGUAAUGGCUCACCUAGGCGACGAUACAUAGCCGACCUGAGAGGGUGAUCGGCCACACUGGGACUGAGACACGGCCCAGACUCCUACGGGAGGCAGCAGUAGGGAAUCUUCGGCAAUGGGGGCAACCCUGACCGAGCAACGCCGCGUGAGUGAAGAAGGUUUUCGGAUCGUAAAGCUCUGUUGUAAGUCAAGAACGGGUGUGAGAGUGGAAAGUUCACACUGUGACGGUAGCUUACCAGAAAGGGACGGCUAACUACGUG
rnacentral:rRNA from 1 species